rnacentral:rRNA from 1 species
CGGACGGGUGAGUAACGCGUGGGUAACCUGCCUCAUACAGGGAAUAGCAGCUGGAAACGGCUGAUAAAACCGCAUAAGCGCACAGUGCCGCAUGGCACAGUGUGAAAAACUCCGGUGGUAUGAGAUGGACCCGCGUCUGAUUAGCUUGUUGGCGGGGUAACGGCCCACCAAGACUACGAUGGAUAGGGGUUCUGAGAGGAAGGUCCCCCACAUUGGAACUGGGACACGGUCCAA